CCAUGUUCUCUCUUGGUUUAUAGAACUGAACAUUAGGUUGAUGCUUUCGGUAGUUGCCGCUUAAUUGCUCCCCUAUUGGUUCUGUGAAAGAGUUGAUGCAUUGAUGAUCUAGCUUCCAGUGACCUUCAGAACCCCCCUUUCUCAGUGACUUCCGCAAAAGUUGGUACCAUUCGGAGCAUUGUUAGAAGACGGGCGGAAAGGAUGGAGAGGCGACAGGAGCAAAGGUUAGAAAUUUGGGCCCAAACAUGGACAUUUAGGUGCCUCAGGUUCAACCACCGUAAGGGCUGAAGAGGUGAUGUGAGUAAGAACCAUAACGCCAUUAUUAACCUUGCAACAUUUAGGAAAUACGAAGACAGCUAUUUGAAUUUUGGUUUUAUUUGUUCUGGAAGUGGAGAUAUACCUCAACCGCAGUGUGUAAUUAGUGCUAAAGUACUGUCCAAUGAAUGUUUGAAGCCCUACAAUUACAGAUUCAUUUAAUUACAAAGCACGACAUCUAUAAGGAUAAGCACCAUUUUUUUUUCCUUUUUUUUUCCUUUUUUUUUUUUUUUUUUCUGAGCGAAAGGCCGAGGAAUGGCUUGGUACUAAAGCAGUAAUGAAAUCCACAACUACUGCAGAUAAGAAGCUUUUAAGGUCAUCUUAUAUAGUGGUGCAGAAAAUUGCUAAAAUAAAAAAAUCACAUACGACUGCUGAGAUUUUGAUAAUGCCAUGUAUUAUUGAAAUAACAAAGGAAGUGUUUGGAGAGGAGAAGGCCAAAGUACUGACAAAAAUACCCAUGUCAAAUGAUGGAUCAUUUCUAUGUCAGAAGACAUAGUUUUUCAGUGUAUUGAUCAGCUGUGUGACAAUGAUUUUGCUAUACAGGUAGAUGAAUCCAGAGACAUUUCAAAAAUGUCCCAUUUAUUUGCCUAUGUUCGGUAUGUGUGGAAUAAGGAAAUAAAGGAAGACUUUUUGUUUUGCAAAGAGCUGAAGAGAACAACAAAGUCAGAUGACAUUUUCAAGCUGAUAGAUGAUUUUAUGACCGGAAAGCAUUCUGGUGUUGUGCAAAAAAUAAAAGCCUUUGCACCUCACACUAUUUUGACACAUUGCUUUUUUCACUGAGACGCGCUUGCUGCAGAAGAUACUGCACCAGGUCUUCGCAGUGGUAAUGCUCAUUAAUUUUAUUAAAUCCAGAGCAACAAACUCCAGGUGUUUUGCUGCACUUUGUGAGGAGGUGGGUACGGAGCAUCAUUUCUUGCUCAUGCAUACAGAGGUGAGGUGGCUAUUUUGAGGAAGAAUGCUUGCCUGUAUAUUUAAUCUCAAGGAAGAGUUAUGUACUUUCUUAGUUGAUAAGAAAAGUGAACUUGCUGAAGUGCUGAAAGCUGACGUGCGGCUGGCAAAACUGGGUUACCUCACAGACCUAUUCAGUGAAAUGAAUAAGCUGAAUAAAAGUUAGGAACACUAAUUUUAUUGCCCAGCGUGAAAGAAUUAAGGCACUCAAAAGAAAACAACUCUGGAAAGUUCGUGUCUGUGGGGGCACUACUGAUACGUGUGAGCUCUUACAUUCUUUCAUUCAGGAACGAAACAUGGACUUUGAUGUAAUUAAACCUCAGCUAGCAGUGCAGCUGCCUGGUCUGCUUCACAAAUUUAAUGCUUAUUUUCCUGAACUCACAACAGAACAAGCUGCUACAUGCAUGUGCACUACAAACCCCUUGAGUGAGAACACUGAAGCUAAACUUCCAUCUAAUGUCCCAUCAAAACUGUUAGAAGAGCUCAUUGACAUUUCGUCAGAUGGCUCCCUCAGAACCAGGUGCAAAGAAAUGCCGCUGGAGACAUUUUGGUGUGAGCGUUCCAGUGAAUACAUCACUGCUUCUUCUGCAGCACUGAAAGGUUUGAUCCCCUUUGGAGCCACCUACUUAUGCGAAACUGGAUUUUCAGCCAUGCCAUCAAGGAAAACAAAGUACCGAACCAGAAUGAACAUUGACCAUGACAGGCGCUUGUGCUUGUCAAAGAUACCCCCUCGUCUUGACAGAAUUGUUGAUCAGCACCAACAGCAAGUUGCACACUCAGUAAAUAAAAAUAAUAAUAUUCAGUUUAUUUUUGUGCCUAUAUUAUCCCUUUUUAAAUAUUUUAUACAAGUGUGUGUAUUUAACUAUAUAAUAAUCGGUUUAAUGCAGUUUUUAAUCUACUGGAUAUGCAGAAAACCAGUUGCUGUGGCACAGGUGGGCCUUGGAGUUUUUAUAGCAUUUUUGGGAGCGCCUCAGAAAGAAAAAGGUUGAGAACCCCUGGUCUAGAAGAAAUUACCCUAAUAAGGUGGGUGCAAAACUAGUUGAAAGACUGCACUCAAAGAUAGUUAUCAAUGGUUUGCUGCCACACUCUGGGGAUGCAUUUAAUGGGACCCUGGAUCCGGUAAUAUUCAAUAUUUUCAUUAAUGGAGGGAAAAGUGUGCUUAUGAAAUGUGUGGAUAACACAGCCGGGAGAAGCAGCAAGAACGUUAGAGGACAGGAUUAGAAUGAGAGGACAGGAAGGGACAAUCAAUUGCACACCUACAAAAUGGGAAAUGGCUGCCUAGGAAGGAGCACUGCGGAAAGGGACCUGGGGGUUUUAGUGGAUCACAAGCUAAAUGUGAGUCAACGGUUGUAACACUGUUGCAG